GAUAUCUGUUCCCACGAUCCCCACACCCACCACCACCCCCAAAUCGUGUGCGUGCGGUUCGGGUCGGUGCGGCCGGCGGCGAGCGGCUGCAGCCCAAAUUGCGGCGCACAAGAGCACACGCGUGGCGGCGGUUGGCUGCGCGGCGGUGCGGCUCGACCCAAGGCGGCUGGGGCGGCGGCUUCGAAAACAAGCUCUAGCGGGACGCCUACCGCGAGCUCGCCGAGCGCAAGGCCUCUUCCUCCACCGCCUCCAUCUCUCCCGCUACCCUGCAGUCCAAAUUGCAGCGAGCCAAGGCGGCGCCGGCUGAGGAAGGAGCAGUCGGUGGCCGCUGAUAGGAGCGGCGCGCGAGAGCAGACCUGUGGCGGCUGGCUACGCGCUGGCGCCGGCUCGGGCGGCGGCUGGUGGCUCGGACGCGGUCGGCCACGGCGUCCUGCCCUCUCCACGUCCCCAGCUUCUCUCGCCGCCGCGCCUCAUCCAGCUCCUCGCGCGUCCUCCAGCGCCUCCGGUAUCCACUGACGCAGCCCCUGUCUCUUUCCGAUCCCCCAAGGCGAACCAAUCGAUUCCGCCUCGGCCGCCGACCGCGGCAUACACUGCCCCCCGUCUCGCCGCCGCUGGGCUCCGCGGCCGCUCUGAUUCGGCCCCCAUCUUCCCCAAGUUCUCAUGCAUGGUGUUCUGGAGAGCGGGCAGGACAUCGCGGUGAAGAAGCUGUUGCUGGAGUCACGGCAAGGUCUGCGGGAGUUCUUCCACGAGGUCUGCCUGCUAGCUCUAGGUACAACACUGGAACCUUGUCUCCCUGCUGGGCUGCUGCGCCGCUACCGGUCACAAGAUGCUCGUCUACCCAUUAUUCUCCGACGACACAGCGUCGACCAGACCACAUUCUCUUCGGGAGCAAUUACAAAGAGGAUGACAGCAAUUGAGGAGCUGGCUGGCAUUGAUGUUCUUUGCAGUGAGAAGACAAGGACACUAACCUUGAACAAGUUGAUUGUGGACAAGAAUCUUAUAGAGAAAAUCAGGUUGAUAUAGAUGCCACGAUGGUUGGUGUGCUUGCAGUUCCCAAGGAAGUAUAUCCAACAUCAUUUAUAUUUGUGAUAUAUAUUGAAAACUGAUUAGUAUUAGUCACUUUACAGAAUCUGCAAGUGAAUAUGAUCAAGUUUAACUCAAAUAUGAACACCUCACUAUACAGGCCUGCAAGUCAAUAAUUCAUAUAUCAACCAUCACCUCGUUGUUAGGCUAGCCAGAUCAGCUAAAUCACAGUAUUUUCUCAUGUCUAGCAUAGCUUCAGCACUAUUUCAAUGCAUAACCAAACACUCAUACAAUACCAAAGUUAUUGCAUUCUAUCGUCAUCUUACCUAUCCAAUAACUUUUCGUUUUCUUCAAAAUAGUGCAAAUGAAGGGCCUUCACCUUCUCGGCAUAGUAAACCAAUUGCAGUUGCAGUGAAGAAUACUCGGGGAAGUUUGCAUAAGACAUCCGUACAGCUUCUCCUAUAUUGCAGUGGUUUGUGAUACAAUCAUUCAUGAUGAUUUUCAAACAGUAACUGGUAAACAGUUUGAAGAUUUCUCUGAAUGGCCAAUUUGGAGCAAGUGCCCCGACAACUUACACUGGGCAACUCAUGUGCAUCAUUAGCAAAGAGGUUUUUGUGCCACUAUAAUGGCAAAGAGAGUCGGCUUCGUUGUAGCACUGAACUGUCAAAGGAGAAUCGGUAUAGGGCUGAAGAUCUCUUAGAUCUCAUCUUCCAUGAUUUGAGCGAAGUCAGGCCUUUACCUGAUGCUCUGGAGAAGUUACGGCCCAUGAUAACCCACACGUGAGAAACUUGUUUUGAAGCUCCGAUUGUUCAUCCUCCCCCUAAGAACUAAGUUGCACAUCUGUAUAUAGCAGAAUGUUUCCUUUUGUAGUGUCCACGUCCAUGUAAAUGUAUUUUGCUUUUAUUGAUGUUUCCUUUGUAUUGGCAAACCUGCAACAAAACAUAUCCUGGUCCUCGAAAUGUUUGCAGUGAAUGAAUGAUGCAUGGUUUCAACGUUA